GAAAAACAAAAAAGAAUAUUAGUAAAUAUCAAGAAGAUUCAAUGGAAGCUAAACUAAUUCUAUGAUGAAUAUAGCAGCAAUUCCGAUCCUAUAACAAAUGUCUAAAAUUUGGUGGAUGGUGUAUGUGUAUAUUACAUACAUGAUAAUUUACACAGAUUUUUAUUAAAUAAUUCCCCAAACUUCU